rnacentral:rRNA from 1 species
CCUACGGGGGGCAGCAGUGGGGAAUAUUGGACAAUGGGCGAAAGCCUGAUCCAGCCAUGCCGCGUGUGUGAAGAAGGCCUUCGGGUUGUAAAGCACUUUCAGUGGGGAAGAAAGCCUUGGGGCUAAUACCCUCGAGGAAGGACAUCACCCACAGAAGAAGCACCGGCUAACUCCGUGCCAGCAGCCGCGGUAAUACGGAGGGUGCGAGCGUUAAUCGGAAUUACUGGGCGUAAAGCGCGCGUAGGCGGUCUGAUAAGCCGGUUGUGAAAGCCCCGGGCUCAACCUGGGAACGGCAUCCGGAACUGUCAGGCUAGAGUGCAGGAGAGGAAGGUAGAAUUCCCGGUGUAGCGGUGAAAUGCGUAGAGAUCGGGAGGAAUACCAGUGGCGAAGGCGGCCUUCUGGACUGACACUGACGCUGAGGUGCGAAAGCGUGGGUAGCAAACAGGAUUAGAACCCCAGUAGUC